rnacentral:rRNA from 1 species
CCUACGGGGGGCAGCAGUGGGGAAUUUUGGACAAUGGGCGCAAGCCUGAUCCAGCCAUGCCGCGUGCAGGAUGAAGGCCCUCGGGUUGUAAACUGCUUUUGUACGGAACGAAAAGCCUCUCUCGAAUAAAGAGGGGUGAUGACGGUACCGUAAGAAUAAGCACCGGCUAACUACGUGCCAGCAGCCGCGGUAAUACGUAGGGUGCGAGCGUUAAUCGGAAUUACUGGGCGUAUAGCGUAAGAAGGCGGUGAAAUCCCCGGGCUCAACCUGGGAACGGCCAUUGUGACUGCAAGGCUGGAGUACGGCAGAGGGGGAUGGAAUUCCGCGUGUAGCAGUGAAAUGCGUAGAUAUGCGGAGGAACACCGAUGGCGAAGGCAGUCCCCUGGGCCUGUACUGACGCUCAUGCACGAAAGCGUGGGGAGCAAACAGGAUUAGAUACCCGUGUAGUC